CCGGUGCCGGCCCCGCCGGGCAGGGGCAGCGGGCGCGGCUCUCCGGGCCGGCGCCGGCCCCGCGUGCCGGAGGAGCCGCUCUCCUGCCGGGAGCCGCGCUCCGUCCGGGGCCGGCAGCGAGCGCGGGCUUCGGCUGCUCGCGGUGCUGGGGCGGUGCCGCGGUUCGGAGGCGCUUUGAAGGCAUUGAUUGCAUCGCUGUGCUCGGUUUGCAGCGGGUGUACGCUAAGGGCUACGGUGUUCUUCCUGAGUGGUGCGGUUCUCGGUGCCGGUGGGGAUGAUAAAGCGAGCCGAGCCGGGCUGAACUGUUCCGAAGAGCCGAGUGUGGCCGAAAAUAACCGAGUUUAGCUUAAGAGACCAGGAUAGCCAAGUGUAGCUGACAUUAGCCGCGUUAGGACAAAGAGCCGCGUGAGACCGAGGUUAGCCUGUAGCCGGGAGUGGCCUGGUGGCUCCUGAAAUUCCACGAUAGGCAGGAUGGUUCCCAGACCCAAGCUGGCCCCAGUGCCAAGUCGGGCUGACGUGAUAGCGCCUCGUGGCUCCUGCAGUGUGCCAUCCAGAAGCGGGGCAGACAGCCAGUUCUGAAGCACUGAGCAGAGAUCUGCCCGGGAGGAAGAGCAGAGCCAAUCUCUGAGAGCUGACGCGCGAGCUGUGGUGAGGACAGCUGCUCCCUGCCUGCAGCCUGCCUUGGUGUGGGAGCUGCUGAGCUGCCAUUCCUGUGGUGGGAGUGUUUCUCCUCUCAUUGAGCCAAGCCAGAGACCUGCUAGGGAAGGAGCAGGUAAGGUUUAAGUACCGA